GGCUAGUUACUUGUUUUUAAAUUAACUACCCAAAGAUAUAUAAGAGAAUAGCAAGGCAUGAUACCUGAAACAAGAAGAUGAUAAGUCAGUUCUUAAACAUGAGUUUUUCUUGAAAGGGGAAAAAACAUGAUUCUGCAUGUAAAUCAGGAAAUAGCCCAAGAGUAAACCUGUGGCUUAAAGACAAACAUUAAGUCCUCAUGUACACUAAAAACUUUACCCCAGGCAAGUACAUUUU
rnacentral:lncRNA from 1 species